rnacentral:rRNA from 1 species
GUUAGGAAUAUUGGACAAUGGGCGCAAGCCUGAUCCAGCCAUGCCGCGUGAGUGAUGAAGGCCUUCGGGUUGUAAAGCUCUUUAGCCGAUGAUUAUAAUGACUGUAGUCGGAAAAUAAGCCCCGGCUAACUUCGUGCCAGCAGCCGCGGUAAUACGAAGGGGGCGAGCGUUAUUCGGAAUCACUGGGCGUAAAGCGUGCGUAGGCGGCUUUGCAAGUUGGGAGUGAAAGCUCAGGGCUCAACCCUGGAAUGGCUCUCAAAACUGCAAGGCUCGAAUUCGGGAAAGGAUAGCGGAAUUGUCAGUGUAGCAGUGAAAUGCGUAGAUAUUGACAGGAACACCAGUGGCGUAAGCGGCUAUCUGGACCGAUAUUGACGCUGAGGCACGAAAGCGUGGGGAUCAAACAGGAUUAGAUACCCGAGUAGUCC